GCUCUAUCACGCUGAAACACCAAUUCUCAUACGAUCACCAAAGUUAAGCAAUGUGGAGCCUGGUUAGUACCUGGAUGGGUGACCGCUUAGCAAGACUAAGUGCUGGAU